GACGAACGCUGGCGGCGUGCUUAACACAUGCAAGUCGAACGGAAAGGCCCUGCUUUUGUGGGGUGCUCGAGUGGCGAACGGGUGAGUAACACGUGAGUAACCUGCCCUUGACUUUGGGAUAACUUCAGGAAACUGGGGCUAAUACCGGAUAGGAGCUCCUGCUGCAUGGUGGGGGUUGGAAAGUUUCGGCGGUUGGGGAUGGACUCGCGGCUUAUCAGCUUGUUGGUGGGGUAGUGGCUUACCAAGGCUUUGACGGGUAGCCGGCCUGAGAGGGUGACCGGCCACAUGGGGACUGAGAUACGGCCCAGACGCCUACGGGAGGCAGCAGUGGGGAAUAUUGCACAAUGGGCGGAAGCCUGAUGCAGCAACGCCGGGUGCGGGAGGACGGCCUUCGGGUUGGAAACCGCUUUCGCCUGUGACGAAGCGUGAGUGACGGGAAUGGGGAAAGAAGCACCGGCUAACUACGG
rnacentral:rRNA from 1 species